CCUACUGCUAUCGGGAUAGGACUAAGACAUGUUAGUCGUGCGUCUCUCAGCCUGAAAGAGACGCGGCGUACGGCUCAGUAGCAUGUGGCUAACCUAACCUAAGGACAGAGACAACCCCGGGAAACUGGGGCUAAUCCUUGAUAGGCGUGGACUCCUGGAAUGGUUCUUCACCCAAAGGGCUUUGGAAGCAUACUUUUCAAAGUCGCCUGGGGAUGGGGCCGCGUCCGAUCAGGUUGUUGGUGAGGUAACGGCUCACCAAGCCUAUAACCGGUACGGGCCGUGAGAGCGGUAGCCCGGAGAUGGGCACUGAGACAAGGGCCCAGGCCCUACGGGGCGCAGCAGUCGCGAAAACUCCGCAAUGCACGAAAGUGUGACGGGGCUACCCCGAGUGCCGUCCGCUGAGGAUGGCUUUUCCUCGGUGUAACCAGCCGUGGGAAUAAGGAGAGGGCAAGACUGGUGUCAGCCGCCGCGGUAAUACCAGCUCUCCGAGUGGUAGGGAUGAUUAUUGGGCUUAAAGCGUCCGUAGCCGGCUUAGCAAGUCUCCUGUUAAAUCCAGCGACCUAAUCGUUGACCCGCGGGAGAUACUACUGGGCUAGGAGGCGGGAGAGGCCGACGGUACUUCCGGGGUAGGGGUGAAAUCCUAUAAUCCCGGGAGGACCACCAGUGGCGAAGGCUGUCGGCUAGAACGCGCUCGACGGUGAGGGACGAAAGCUGGG
rnacentral:rRNA from 1 species